rnacentral:rRNA from 1 species
AGCUCUCAAAGUGUAUAUCGUCAUUGCUGCGGUUAAAAAGCUCGUAGUUGGAUCUGCGCUUGAGAACUUGGUCCACCAUUUCGGUGCUGAACUAAGCUUCUCGGCUAUUGUUAUAUGCUGGUUUUCCCUACGUUGCCUUCACCGGUCGCGUAGGGUGGCUAGCGAGUUUACUUUGAAAAAAUUAGAGUGCUUAAAGCGGGCAAUAAUGUCUGAAUAUUUGUGCAUGGAAUAAUAGAAUAGGAUCUCGGCUCUAUUUUGUUGGUUUUCUGAUCUGAGAUAAUGGUUAAGAGGGACAGACGGGGGCAUUCGUAUCGCUGCGUGAGAGGUGAAAUUCUUGGACCGUAGCGAGACGCCCGACUGCGAAAGCAUUUGCCAAGAAUGUCUUCA